GACCCCAUAGCUCAGUCGGUAGAGCAACGGACUUUUAAUCCGUGCGUCGCAGGUUCGAUCCCUGCUGGGGUCA
rnacentral:tRNA from 1 species